UCUCUGAUUUGAAAUUCCUCUUGCAGAUGUCACUGUCCACGAGGCUUCAAUGGUUAUCGCUGUGAAUCCAACAUAGAUGACUGUACAAACCAUUCCUGCCAGAAUAAUGCCACUUGUAUUGAUUUAGUGGAAACAUAUACCUGUCAAUGUCCUAUUGGUUAUAUAGGUAAACACUGUCAGAAGAAAAUUGUGUUUUGUGAAGGAGAGUAUGAUAUGUGUGAGAAUGGUGCUACCUGUAAGCCUAAAGGUGAUGAUUACAGCUGCGAAUGUCUACCAGGUUACACAGGUAAAAAUUGUUCAGAAAACAUAGAUGAAUGCCGCUCUCAUAUUUGUCAGAAUGGUGCCAAAUGCAUGGAUGGCCUCAAUGGAUACACGUGUAUUUGCCCACCUGGUUACCUAGGCAACUUCUGUGAAAUAGCACCAAUCCAACAGUCAGGUGUACAACAACCCAGUGCCUGCCUUCACCACGAAUGUAAAAACAAUGGACUUUGUUAUUUGCCUUCCACCACAUCCGACUACAUGUGCCGCUGUGCCGCAGGUUUUGCCGGCAAGAAAUGUGAAAAGCUUCAUACAGUUUCCCUACACGAAGAAGAUUCAUACAUAAAGUUGCCACCAUUACAGGUAGACCCUAAAGCCAAUAUAACCAUUGUAUUCUCUGCUAAGCAAGACAAUGGUAUUUUGCUCUACACCGGCUUUGAACAACAUGUCGCAGCAGAGUUGUUCCGAGGCCGAAUUAGGAUCAGUUUUGAUGUUGGCAACUAUCCAGUAUCUUCAAUGUUCAGCUUCAAAACAGUAAACGAUGGCAACUUCCAUCAUUUGCAAAUGAUGAUUGAGAAAAAGAAUUUCACCAUGAUUGUCGAUGGAGGCAUUUCCCGUACCAUUGUGAACGAAGGAUCUCGUGAGAGUCUGGAUGUCACUGAUUCCUUGUAUCUUGGAGGACUUCCUCCUGAUGUCAAUGACAGGGCUCUGAAAAAUUGGCAUAUACGAGACAAAGCUAGCUUUGUUGGAUGUCUCCAAAAAGUCUUGAUUAACGGACACCAAUUAGACUUCAGCUCAUCACUUUACAACCAUAAACUAAUCCCUGGAUGCCAAGAGUUAAAAAAGCAAGAUCCAUGCGCAAACCACAAAUGUAAGCAUGGCAAGUGCACCAGUCGUAAAGACAGUACUUAUAAAUGCCGGUGUCGGGAAGGUUAUUCUGGAACAUACUGUGAUGUAGGUGAAGAUAUAGAAGUGAAAAAGAUGAACCCCUGUGACAAACAUGAUUGUAGGCAGGGUCGAUGUACCCCCCAGAAGGACAACACAUAUAAAUGUCGCUGUAGACGUGGUUACACUGGCCAAAGAUGUGACAUAGCACCAACUUGCCGUGACAUAGCCUACAAAGAGACCCACAAGGACCCUAAGACAGGCUGCAAAUCACGGACCAAGGUGAAAUUUCGGCGCUGUGAGGGUUCAUGCGGCCGUCACUGUUGCAAGCCGAAGAAAAUCAAAACCCGCCGUGUACGACUGUUCUGUGCAGAUGGAACCAAUUUCGUCUAUAACCUACCAGUGAUCCGAAAGUGUGGUUGCAAGCGCUGCUGACAGAGGUCACUGCCUGGGGCAGGGGGUUGGAAAGGGCUAUAUAUGUUUACAUAUAGACUUACACACAUGCAUACACAUAUAUACACACAGUCAUCUACAGAUGUGUGGAUUUACAUAUAUGCAACUGCAUGUGCAUGUAUAUAUAUAUACUUAUGCAUAUACAUAUAUAUACGUGAAUAGAGAAAAUGAACAUGUGUGAGAGAGAGAGAGAGGACAAGAAAACGAUGGAAUAAAUGAAUUUUGGAUAGAUAGAUAGAUAGAUAGAUAGAUAGAAUUGUAGAUGAAUGGAGAGAAGUAGAAUGAAGGGCAAAUUAGGGGAUGAGAGAGAGAGAGAGAGAGAGGAAGAGAAAGAGAGAGAUGGGGGUGGGGGAUGUAUGAGAAUUAAACAGAAACAUGAAGAAGAGAGAUAAAAAUGCAGAAACUAACUUGAAGAUAUAUAUAUAUAUAUACAUAUAUAUUCUCAUACACAGAGGUUCAAAUACAUAUGUUCCACAAAUGAACACAUCUUAAUUUAUACAAAAAUGAAACAAAACAAUCUAAAUGUGCUCAAUAAAAUCAAUUGAGAUUUAAGGAUUUCUGAGCUAUGACAAGACAAACGUUUAAGUGAUCCAAAAGGAACAGAUUUGAAAAGUCAAGAUUAUUCUGUAUAAAAUCUUAUUGAUUUCAUGAUUAAUAGUAUUGUUCCUGUUAUGUGAAGUGUUGAACUUGAUAUUGAGCAAAAUGAUGCCGAAAGACUUGCUUAAGGUUUACUGCAAGCUUAAUAUAACAGCAGCUAGCUAUCUUGAAACAGUACAAAUGGAACAAUGAAGACUAUCAGAGUUUCUAAAUUGCCCAGUUUGGUUAUAUAAUAGUGAAAUUAAAUUCUAUGACACUAAAAGUCCUACAUACAUUACACAUACACAUAUACAUACAUAUACACACACACACAUAUAUAUAUAUAAU